GGGGCCAUAGCUCAGCUGGGAGAGCGCCACACUGGCAGUGUGGAGGUCAGCGGUUCGAUCCCGCUUGGCUCCA
rnacentral:tRNA from 2 species